CUCUAGUCAUUUUCAAUGGAACUGGGUACCGAUCAUGGAGGUGAGGCAUACAUCGAGCACUUUUUGUAAAGAACAAGACUGGAUUUAUCAAUGAUAAGAUCCCAAAGCCAACUCUUACUUCACUUAGAUUUGACCAAUAGGAAUAAUGGGAUGACAUGAUAACUUCUUGGCUGUUAAACUUGCUUUCAAAAGAUUUAGUUGAUAGCUUACAAUAUGUGAACAAUGCUAAGGAGUUAUGGGCCGAAUUGACAGAUAGGUACAACCAGACCAAUGGUGCGAAGUUAUACCAACUUUACAUAGGAUAUGAAUAAUCUCACUCAAGAAAACCUUGAUGCCACAUGUUACUACACACUAACAUCAAAAGGCUAUUGGAAGAACUGAACAUCUUGGAUACAAACACACAAUAUACUUGUUUGUUCACUUGUGGUGGGAAAACUAAAUUUCACAAGGCAGAGCAUGAUGGGUGACUUAUUCAAUUACUAAUAGACUUGAAUGAAGUCUACAUAGUUAUCCGAGGGAGCAUUUUGAUGAUGCAUCUCCUAACUACUAUGCUUCAGGCAUUCUCCAUCUUAGUCCAGGAAGAAAAACAUCACGAGGUCAGACAUCACAGUCAUAUUCACUUAGAUUCAACCUCACCGAGUGUGACAACAAGAUGUAGCACAAAUUUCAUCCACUCUAAUGUAUCCAAUAGUAACAAUAAUUUCAAUUUUAGGACAAACUAUUUUCCAUAGCUGCUUCCAAGCCAUAUUUCACCAACAAUUGUUCUUCUAGAUAAUCCACAGGAUCACCCAUCCACUCAGGCAAUUUGAAUGUUCUUUUAGGACAUAUCCAUCAAAUCAUGGAAAAGAACACGUGUUUUGUAACUAAUGUAAGAAGUUAGGUCACUAAAGACAAAUGUUAUAGACUAUAUGGCUUCCGUAAGGAUUUUAAAUUCACCAAAAAAGGAACUCAAGGUCACCAUCAACUAUACUUGGAAACACAGAGGCUUGCUACCUGAGAAUUGUGAGAGUGCUCAUUUUCCAUGAUCAGAUCACGGUUUUAUAACAGUCUCACACACGAUUAGUACAACAAGUUGCUCACUCUUUUAGGAAGCAUUCAUGUUCGUAAGGUACGCGCUAGUGAUGGCCAGAUGAACCUGUAGACAAGCUCUUCAAUGGUGUAGGUGGAAGAUGAAAAGGAUCAUGAAGGACAGCUUGGAUUCUAGUGUUGUUCAAGCAAAGUUGAAGUAUGUCCUCAAUUGACUCGAGGGCAUAUAUGUCUUUUAUUUUAAAGUGUUGUAAUAGACUAAGUAUUUCUAUAUUCGUAUUGUAUGGGUCGUGUCCCAAGUAUUCUUGAGUCUAAGAAUGACAUAUGUUGAGACUUCGCAUUUCUAUGAUAAUAAUAUGAAAAUAUGUUUUAAGA